AUUGAACGCUGGCGGCAUGCUUUACACAUGCAAGUCGGACGGCAGCGCGGGGGGCAACCCUGGCGGCGAGUGGCGAACGGGUGAGUAAUGCAUCGGAACGUAUCCUGUAAUGGGGGGAUAACGUAGCGAAAGUUACGCUAAUACCGCAUACGCUCGAGAGAGGAAAGUGGGGGAUCGCAAGACCUCACGUUAUAGGAGCGGCCGAUGUCCGAUUAGCUAGUUGGUGGGGUAAAGGCCUACCAAGGCGACGAUCGGUAGCUGGUCUGAGAGGAUGACCAGCCACACUGGAACUGAGACACGGUCCAGACUCCUACGGGAGGCAGCAGUGGGGAAUUUUGGACAAUGGGCGCAAGCCUGAUCCAGCCAUUCCGCGUGCAGGAUGAAGGCCUUCGGGUUGUAAACUGCUUUUGUACGGUAACGAAACGGCGAGCUCUAAUACAGUUUGCUAAUGACGGUACCGUAAGAAUAAGCACCGGCUAACUACGUGCCAGCAGCCGCGGU
rnacentral:rRNA from 1 species